UACAGAGGGGGCAAGCGUUGUUCGGAAUACUGGGCGUAAAGCGUGCGCAGGCGGUUGUGCAAGACAGAUGUGAAAUCCCCGGGCUCAACCCUGGGAAUUGCAUUUGUGACUGCACGGCUAGAGUGUGUCAGAGGGGGGUAGAAUUCCACGUGUGAGCAGUGAAAUGCGUAGAGAUGUGGAGGAAUACCGAUGGCGAAGGCAGCCCCCUGGGAUAACACUGACGCCUCAUGCACGAAAGCGUGGGGAGCAAACAGG
rnacentral:rRNA from 1 species